UACGGAGGGUGCAAGCGUUAAUCGGAAUUACUGGGCGUAAAGGGUGCGUAGGCGGUAAAGUAAGUUAUCUGUGAAAUCCCUGGGCUUAACCUGGGUAGGAAAGAUGAUACUGCUUAACUAGAGUGUGAUAGAGGAUAGUGGAAUUUCCGGUGUAGCGGUGAAAUGCGUAGAGAUCGGAAGGAACACCAGUGGCGAAGGCGGCUAUCUGGAUCAACACUGACGCUGAGGCACGAAAGCGUGGGGAGCAAACAGGAUUAGAUACCCUGGUAGUCCACGCCGUAAACGAUGUCAACUUGCUGUUGGGUACAUUAAAGUAUUUAGUAGCGAAGCUAACGCGAUAAGUUGACCGCCUGGGGAGUACGGUCGCAAGAUUA
rnacentral:rRNA from 1 species